GGGUGCGAUCAUACCAGCACUAAUGCACCGGAUCCCAUCAGAACUCCGCAGUUAAGCGUGCUUGGGCGAGAGUAGUACUAGGAUGGGUGACCUCCUGGGAAGUCCUCGUGUUGCACCGC
rnacentral:rRNA from 1 species